UACGAAGGGUGCAAGCGUUACUCGGAAUUACUGGGCGUAAAGCGUGCGUAGGUGGUUUGUUAAGUCUGUUGUGAAAGCCCCGGGCUCAACCUGGGAAUGGCAAUGGAUACUGGCAGGCUAGAGUGCGGUAGAGGAUGGCGGAAUUCCCGGUGUAGCAGUGAAAUGCGUAGAGAUCGGGAGGAACAUCUGUGGCGAAGGCGGCCAUCUGGACCAGCACUGACACUGAGGCACGAAAGCGUGGGGAGCAAACAGG
rnacentral:rRNA from 1 species